rnacentral:rRNA from 1 species
GACGAACGCUGGCGGCGUGCCUAAUGCAUGCAAGUCGCACGCGGCACCUUCGGGUGCUGCGUGGCUAACGGCCGAGGAACACGGUGGGACCUGUCCGGGAGUGGGGGACAACACCGCGAAGGCGGUGCUAAUCCCGCAUACGCUCUGAGGAGGAAAGCCGAAAGGCGCUCCCGGGUGGCACUGCGGCCCAUCAGGUUGUUGGUGGGGUAACGGCCUACUAAGCCGAUGACGGGUCGCAGGAGUGUGAGGACGACCAGCCAGACUGGGAGUGGGACACGGCCCGGACUCCUACGGGAGGCAGCAGCAAGGAAGUUUAGGCAAGGAGCGCAAGUCUGACCGGGCUACGCCGCGUGCAGGAAGACGGCCUGCGGGGUGGAAACUGCUGUUGCUAGGGAGGAUAACAGACAGUACCUGGCGAAUCAGCCCCGGCUAACUCUGUG